rnacentral:sRNA from 1 species
GAAAAGUAAAUUAUUAGGGUUGUCCAAUCAGCCUUUACAACCAGAGCUUAACAAAAGUGAUACUAGCAUAAUGCUAAAGUGGCAGGUGCUGUCUAGGACAAGUUAAAGGAAAUGUUGACAUUCAUCUUGAUUUCCUAAACUUUAAAUAAAACAUAAUUUAUAUAUUUACUUUGUAAAUCUGUGAUGGUUGACUUUCAAGGAUUUUGGAAGUAUUGACUUUUCAUGCCUUGGUUUAUUACUAUUUUUUUGUUAAUGAUUUUAAAUAAAUUGCCUUAAAUAGCUCUUUUUUCUUUUCUUUUCCCUUAGGUCACAGGGAUUAUGGACCCAGAACAGAUGCUGAUUCAGAAUCUGAUAAUUCAGAUAACAACACAAUCUUUGUGCAAGGACUUGGGGAGGGUGUGUCUACAGAUCAAGUUGGGGAGUUCUUUAAACAAAUAGGAAUUAUCAAGACAAAUAAGAAGACCGGAAAACCAAUGAUAAAUCUUUAUACAGACAAGGACACAGGAAAGCCAAAGGGGGAGGCAACAGUGUCAUUUGAUGACCCUCCUUCAGCUAAGGCAGCCAUUGACUGGUUUGAUG